CGGGAGCGGGGGCCGGUUCCUGGUCCCCGGGAGAAGCCAAGAAGGUAUCAGAAUGGUCUGUGGGUUUGUUUUAAAGCUACAGAAAGGACAGAGCAAGAACCAAAGAAGAAAAAAGAUUCCCUGCAGCCUGCCAGAGACGUGGUAGCUGCCUUGCCAACAGCUAUCCUGGAAGGGCUAUUGAAAGAGCCGGGACUCUGCCUCACUUGACAGCCCUGCACCCAGGUUACGGAUGGAGAGGGACAGGCAAGACUGCGAAGAAAAGAGCUCUCCAGAAUGCUGGCAUUCGACACAACUGCAGCUCGGCACUCCAUCCUUGAUAAAAAUAAGUCGCCACUUCGGAACAAAAUGCUGGGUUGAUUCCUGGCCAAGCUGGGACCUCGAGCUGCAAGCUGGGGGCUGGGGACGGAGAGCCGCUACUUUCCGCAUGGGUUACUAGCAGCCCGCAAUGCCCCUCCCCUCCCCCUCCUGGAACACGCCAUCGGAGCCGGCCGGCGAGACCAAGGGAAUGUGCACUUCUCUAAUGCGCUCUGAAGGAGGCUGCUUGCCAAGAAAGCCUUUCCCAGUGGGGUGGGGGCAGGGCGCCCUGGGAUGGCCUGGCAGUGGGAAGGUUCUGCACAUGCUUACCUGACCCCUAACCUCCGAGCCAGGGGGAAGGAGGGCAUUCCCAAGGGAUCACCGCGGUGCUAGCUUACGCACCCCAGGGCUUGCUCAGGCUGGGGCAUGUGAAGCCAGGCCCAGCUCAUGGGGUGAAGCCUAGCCCCCCAAACACAGCACGUAUAUCCAUUGGGCUUGCCAGUAAACUGCGCAAACUUUAACGUCACACCAAAUGUCUCCACAACACAGUAAAAAAGGUGCAGGUAGCCAGAAAAAAAGCUUUUAAGUAAAACUUGGCUCUUGAACAUGACCUGGGAUGAAUAGAGACAACCUCUUUUUAAAUUGUAAUCAUUCCCUACCAGAUCCUUGAGUUUGAGUCCUGGCUCAGCUCA